GACGAACGCUGGCGGCGUGCUUAACACAUGCAAGUCGAACGAAGAGCGAUGGAAGCUUGCUUCUAUCAAUCUUAGUGGCGAACGGGUGAGUAACGCGUAAUCAACCUGCCCUUCAGAGGGGGACAACAGUUGGAAACGACUGCUCAUACCGCAUACGAUCUGACCUCGGCAUCGAGGAUAGAUCAAAGGUGGCCUCUAUUUAUAAGCUAUCACUGAAGGAGGUGAUUGCGUCAGCUUAGCUAGUUGGGGGGGUAACGGCCCACCAAGGCGAUGAUCAGUAGCCGGUCUGAGAGGAUGAACGGGCAAAUUGGGACUGAGACACGGCCCAGACUCCUACGGGAGGCAGCAGUGGGGAAUCUUCCGCAAUGGACGAAAGUCUGACGGAGCAACGCCGCGUGAGUGAUGACGGCCUUCGGGUUGUAAAGCUCUGUUAAUCGGGACGAAAGGCCUUCUUGCGAAUAGUUAGAAGGAUUGACGGUACCGGAAUAGAAAGCCACGGCUAACUACGUG
rnacentral:rRNA from 1 species